UACGUAGGGUGCGAGCGUUAAUCGGAAUUACUGGGCGUAAAGCGUGCGCAGGCGGUUGUGCAAGACAGAUGUGAAAUCCCCGGGCUCAACCUGGGAACUGCAUUUGUGACUGCACGGCUGGAGUGCGGCAGAGGGGGAUAGAAUUCCGCGUGUAGCAGUGAAAUGCGUAGAUAUGCGGAGGAACACCGAUGGCGAAGGCAAUCCCCUGGGCCUGCACUGACGCUCAUGCACGAAAGCGUGGGGAGCAAACAGG
rnacentral:rRNA from 1 species